rnacentral:rRNA from 1 species
GACGAACGCUGGCGGCGUGCCUAAUACAUGCAAGUCGAGCGCAGGAAGCUGACGGAACUCUUCGGAGGGAAGGCAGUGGAAUGAGCGGCGGACGGGUGAGUAACACGUAAGGAACCUGCCUCAAGGAUUGGGAUAACUCCGAGAAAUCGGAGCUAAUACCGGAUAGUUCAACGGACCGCAUGGUCCGCUGAUGAACGGCGCUCCGGCGUCACCUUGAGAUGGCCUUGCGGUGCAUUAGCUAGUUGGUGGGGUAACGGCCCACCAAGGCGACGAUGCAUAGCCGACCUGAGAGGGUGAUCGGCCACACUGGGACUGAGACACGGCCCAGACUCCUACGGGAGGCAGCAGUAGGGAAUCUUCCACAAUGGACGAAAGUCUGAUGGAGCAACGCCGCGUGAGUGAUGAAGGUUUUCGGAUCGUAAAACUCUGUUGUAAGGGAAGAACACGUACGAGAGGGAAUGCUCGUACCUUGACGGUACCUUACGAGAAAGCCACGGCUAACUACGUGCCAGCCGCCGCCGUAA